ACAGCCAGAAAAAUUAGAUAAGGGUGUUAUACGAUUUCUAAGGAUUUUAGGACUCUUUUUGCUACCAAAAAAAGUAAAAAAUUCAUCUAUAAAUAGAGGGUCCAGGAAUAAGUGAAAAAAGUAAAAAAAAAAUUCAGUAGAAAAGUUAGAAAAAAUAAAAAAAAAUAAAACUUUAAGGAUCCAAGAGAAAGAAGAAGAAAAGCUAGUUCGCUCUACGAAGUACGAAGGA
rnacentral:lncRNA from 1 species